rnacentral:rRNA from 1 species
AUGGGCGCAGCCUGAUGGAGCACGCCGCGUGAGUGAAGACGGCCUUCGGGUUGUAAAGCUCUGUCUGUCGGGACGAGGGCCCGGAUGCAAAUCCGGGAGGGACGGUACCGGCGGAGGAAGCCCCUGCAAACUACGUGCCAGCAGCCGCGGUAAGACGUAGGGGGCAAGCGUUGUCCGGAAUUACUGGGCGUAAAGGGCGUGUAGGCGGUGCUUCACGUAGCGGUUUUCAGCCGUCGGCUCACCCGACGGAGGGCGGCUAAACGGGAGCGCUGGAGGGCAGGAGAGGUGCACGGAAUUCCUGGUGGAGCGGUGAAAUGCGUAGAGAUCAGGAAGAACACCCGUGGCGAAGGCGGUGCACUGGCCUGGCCCUGACGCUGAGGCGCGACAGCGUGGGGAGCGAACGGGAUUAGAUACCCCGGUAGUCCACGCCGUAAACGAUGGAUACUAGGUGUCGCGGGGGUCCACCCGGCGGUGCCGGAGCUAACGCACUAAGU